UAACACCCUGAGGAAGAAGCACCUGUUCACGGCCCUGUCACUAGACAUGGAAAAGCAGCAUUCAGUUUUUAUGCACCACGUACCUUGAACAAACCUCCUGUUAUAGAAACACUGUUGCUGACGUCCCUCCUUCACUGCUGCAAUGACACAAAGAGAAGAGAAAACAUACCAUCAGUGUUAGUCAUGGUGGAUUAUAAUAUGAUGCUAUGGCGAACAAGAUGGAUAUCAGCAGAGCCGACGGAGGCUCCUACACGGAUAAUCUAAUUGGGACUUUACUUGCUCUUUUUGGAAAUGUGCUUGUCAGCAUCGCCUUAAGUAUUCAGAAAUACAGCCAUGUGACUUUAGCAGGAACCAAAGACCUGCGUGUCUUCUACCGCACUAAAACCUGGUGGUGUGGUUUUGUUCUGACAUGUCUUGGGGAGGGAGCCAACUUUGUUUCCUAUGCCUUUGCCCCCCUCGCUCUCGUAGCACCUCUAAACGCUGUGUCUGUCCUUACUAGCUCAAUUUUGGGUCUUAUUUUUCUGCGCGAGAAAUCGAAGCCAAAGGACUUUGCGAAGCGCUAUGGACUGUCCUUCCUGGGCUGUAUUCUAACCAUAGGAGGAACAUACCUCUUUGUAGCAUUUGGACCAAACUCUCAUGAAAAACUCAAAGCAGAGAACGUUGUGAAGCACUUUGUAGGAUGGCCUGUUCUCUUGUAUCUGCUCCUGGAGAUCAUCACAUUCUGCCUGCUUUUAUAUUUCUACAAACAGCGCAGUGCUAACUACCUCGUUAUUAUUCUGACGCUGGUUGCGUUACUGGGCUCGGUCACAGUCAUCACAGUGAAGGCGGUGUCAGGCAUGUUGAUUCUUACCAUUGAGGGCAACAUGCAGCUUGACUACCCGAUCUUCAGCGUCAUGUUUGUGUGCAUGGUGGCUUCAGUGGUCUUCCAGGCCAGAUUUCUCUCCCAAGCUUGUAAGCUGUAUGACUCCUCUCUGAUUGCCAGUGUCAACUACAUCCUCUCCACCGUCUUUGCCGUGGUAGCUGGCGCUGUGUUUUACUUAGAGUUUAAAAAUGAAGACGUCCUUCACAUCUGCAUGUUUUUGUUGGGAUCUGCAUUCUGUUUCCUUGGGGUCUAUCUCAUCACCAAAAGCAGGAAAAGGCCCAAGACCUUUGAGCCAUAUGUCACUAUGGAUAUGGUUAAUGGUAUCCCAACUAUUCAUGACAAGGGCCUGGUUGUUCAGCCUGACUCCAACAGUGCUUUCUCCUAUGGAGCUCUGGUCAACAACGACGGAGUGGCUCCUGCUACUCUACCAGUCAACCUGGAACAACCACCAGUCGGCUCAGGAUGCACCGAUACAUCUUAUGGCCUGCCUGACCUAAAGAAAGAUUAAAACCAAAUAUUUUUAUUGUUUUUUUUCUCCUUCAUUCAACUAUCAACAACAUUCAAGGACCUUGAAAGGCCAAAAUGGGUAUGUUCAGUUCUUUUAACAUAUACACAAGACCAAACCUAAGCCCAGUAGGAGGAGUCCACUGGGUGUUUGACUCUGCCUUUACACUCCUAUCCACAUGCUUUCCUUUCUGAAAUCUCAAAACCAAAACGUGAUCUUGAGAAGCGUUCCUUUUUUUUUGUGACAAGAUUACAGCUGUAUUUGUUCCAAAAAUGAACGGAAGAGACCUGAAGCUGCUGGAUGUUGUGGUGGAAUCACAAACAUGUGCUUAAUAUGACAGCAGAGAUGGUGUUGUGCCUUGAAGCUUACUGCCAUCACUCUGUGUUAGCUUUGAGAUGUAAGGACUCGCUUCCAUGACCAUUAAGCAAUUUGUCGCUCAUUAAUGGGAACAUAUAGGGAUCUGUUCUUCCAUUGAGGAUUGUGAAGUUACUCCUCAAAUCUCGUCAAAGUUAUAUAACGUAGCUGCAGACUUGCCAAUGAACAUUUUGUCUUUAUAUAUCUGCCUCUAGCUCUCUCUUACUGUAUAUGAGCGGUUUUAACUCCACCAUUUUGCCUCUCGUUUUUGGAAUUUCAUUGUAUUACUACUUAUCCUGAUGUGACCAAACAAUGGGUGCAGAUGUUCUAAUUUAUUGUAAUGUAUUUAUUAAUUUUAAAGGUAGCUUUUAGUGUGCCUUAAACAGUAGCGGUAUACUGGAUACAUUACUGUAAGGUGGUGCAUAACUCAGGUAGGUGAGUAAAGCACCACUGUAGCAGUUAUAAAAAGGCAAGUGUAAUCUGUCAGUGUGUAUUGAAACAAAAAAUCUGAAACCUUUUAUUAAAAAAGAAAAAAAAGGUGAUAUCACUUUGGAUGACUUAAAUAGAAGAGAACUGCACAAAUAUUUAAAUGUGCACUAUAAGUAUAAAUAGUUAAUCUAUUGUAGAAAAGCAAAUGUCUACAUUUAGUUUUUGGCUAAACAAAUUUUGUUGCCCCUUUAACCUGAUGCCUUGAAGUUUCUGAUGACAAAUCAAGAACUAAAACUAAGAAUGCAGUUAAUGUUGCAAAAUGACCAUUUUGUUGUGGUACAUUUUUCAAAUGUAACCUUCCCAUUAAAAUUUUACAAGCUAAAAGAUAAUCCAGCAAUAAGAAAAUGUGCAUUUUAUUGUUUAAUACUUCAUAAUGAAUGGAUGGCUGCAUAAAUUGGAUACACUCCACCUCUACAUAUGUAGCAAUACAUUUCUACAGUGUUAAUAAAGCAGAGAUCCUUGCCACAGUACUCAGUACAUAGUUAUUUUGGUGAUAUCAACUGAGGUUUGUUGCGUGUGUGUACAAACUCAUCAUUACAUCACUGUGUAAACCAACUGAAGCCUGUCUUGUUAUUAAAACUGCCAUCUAAA